rnacentral:tRNA from 1 species
AAGGGAGACCUAAUUCAGGUAUGGGAUGAAAAAAAAGUAGUCCCAACCAAGAAUCAAUCCCAAAAGGUCGGAGCGAGGCAAGGUUGGCUUUCAAACUAGGUUCUGGGUUCACACAAGACCUGAAUCAGGAACAAGGGCUAUUAGCUCAGGUGGUUAGAGCGCACCCCUGAUAAGGGUGAGGUCCCUGGUUCGAGUCCAGGAUGGCCCACCUGCACAGGUGGCAAAAACAAGAGAAGCGAGGAAUCAGCACCUUAUCUUACUUAUAUCGUAAGAGAGAAUGCUGGCUCUGAGUAAAGAGUCCAGAGGAACCUUGAAAACUGCAUAGAGCUAGGUGAAAAAGCCAAAAAAGAAGACCGCAAGGUCAAGCUAAUAAGGGCUAACGGUGGAUACCUAGGCAC